rnacentral:rRNA from 1 species
AGUAAUAUAUCGGAACGUACCCUGGAGUGGGGGAUAACGUAGCGAAAGUUACGCUAACCGCAUAAGAUCUAAGGAUGAAAGCAGGGGACCGCAAGGCCUUGUGCUCCUGGAGCGGGAUAUCUGAUUAGCUAGUUGGUAGGGUAAAAGCCUACCAAGGCAUCGAUCAGUAGCUGCUGAGAGGACGACCAGCCACACUGGAACUGAGACACGGUCCAGACUCCUACGGGAGGCCAGUGGGGAAUUUUGGACAAUGGGCGCAAGCCUGAUCCAGCAAUGCCGCGUGAGUGAAAGGCCUUCGGGUUGUAAAGCUCUUUUGUCAGGGAAGAAAAGGCUACGGAUAAUACCUGGCUCAUGACGGUACCUGAAGAAUAAGCACCGGCUAACUACGUGCCAGCAGCCGCGGUAACGUAGGGUGCAAGCGUUAAUCGGAAUUACUGGGCGUAAAGCGUGCGCAGGCGGUUUUUAGACUGUCGUGAAAUCCCCGGGCUCAACCUGGGAAUGGCGAUGGUGACUGCAAGGCUAGUUUGGCAGAGGGGGGUAGAAUUCCACGUGUAGCAGUGAAAUGCGUAGAUAUGUGGAAACACCGAUGGCGAAGGCAGCCCCCUGGGUCAAAACUGACGCUCAUGCACGAAAGCGU